ensembl:snRNA U6 U6 spliceosomal RNA
GUGCUUGCUUCGGCAGCAUAUAUACUAAAAUUGGAACAAUACAGAGAAGAUUAGUAUGGCCCCUGUGCAAGGAUGACUUGCAAAUUUGUGAAGCAUUCCAUAUUUUU